rnacentral:rRNA from 1 species
CAGGAUGAACGCUGGCGGCGUGCUUAACACAUGCAAGUCGAACGGAGUGUACUUUAUUGAGGAUUCGUCUGAUUAGCUGUACACUUAGUGGCGGACGGGUGAGUAACGCGUGGGUAACCUGCCUCAUACAGGGGGAUAGCAGCUGGAAACGGCUGAUAAAACCGCAUAAGCGCACACUAUCGCAUGAUAGAGUGUGAAAAAACUCCGGUGGUAUGAGAUGGACCCGCGUCUGAUUAGCUUGUUGGUGAGGUAACGGCCCACCAAGGCGACGAUCAGUAGCCGGCCUGAGAGGGUGAACGGCCACAUUGGGACUGAGACACGGCCCAAACUCCUACGGGAGGCAGCAGUGGGGAAUAUUGCACAAUGGGGGAAACCCUGAUGCCAGCGACGCCGCGUGAAGGAUGACGUAUUUCGGUAUGUAAACUUCUAUCAGCAGGGAAGAACAAGUGACGGUACCUGACUAAGAAGCCCCGGCUAACUACGUGCCAGCAGCAGC